AGAACGCCGUUGAUAAAGAGAGUAGUUGUAGGUGCGUUUCUAGCGAAUUAGGGUUGGUGAGAGCCUAAUAACAAGCUUACAAUGAACCGGACUUUUGAGGCAUUACCUUGAACAUAAGUAGAGGUAAUCGGUCGCUUCCGUUAUAAAGCUAUGAGUCGAUUCACUAGACUACGACUGUCUAGUGGAUAAUAAGAGUGGUACCGCGGAAUAUAACCCGUCUCUUCC
rnacentral:ncRNA from 1 species